AAUGGUGAAAAGUACCCCGGGAGGGGAGUGAAAUAGUACCUGAAACCGUGUGCUUACAAGCCGUUGGAGCCUUUUGGGGUGACAGCGUGCCUUUUGAAGAAUGAGCCUGCGAGUUAGUGUUAUGUCGCGAGGUUAACCCGUGUGGGGUAUCCGUAGCGAAAGCGAGUCUGAAUAGGGCGUUUGAGUGGCAUGACCUAGACCCGAAGCGGAGUGAUCUAUCCAUGGCCAGGUUGAAGCGACGGUAAGACGUCGUGGAGGACCGAACCCACUUCAGUUGAAAAUGGAGGGGAUGAGCUGUGGAUAGGGGUGAAAGGCCAAUCAAACUCUGUGAUAGCUGGUUCUCCCCGAAAUGCAUUUAGGUGCAGCGUUACGUGUUUCUUGCCGGAGGUAGAGCUACUGGAUGGCCGAUGGGCCUUCACGGGUUACUGACGUCAGCUAAACUCCGAAUGCCGGUAAGUGAGAGCGUAGCAGUGAGACAGUGGGGGAUAAGCUUCAUUGUCGAGAGGGAAACAGCCCAGACCACCAACUAAGGCCCCUAAGCGUGUGCUAAGUGGGAAAGGAUGUGGAGUUGCUUAGACAACCAGGAGGUUGGCUUAGAAGCAGCCAUCCUUGAAAGAGUGCGUAACAGCUCACUGGUCAAGUGAUUCUGCGCCGAUAAUGUAGCGGGGCUCAAGUACACCGCCGAAGUUGUGGCAAUGAUCUUUUUGGAUUGUUGGGUAGGGGAGCGUCGUGUGGCCGUUGAAGCUGCGGUGUAAACCAGUGGUGGAGGCUAUGCGAGUGAGAAUGCAGGCAUGAGUAGCGAAAGAUGAGUGAGAAACUCAUCCGCCGGAUGAUCAAGGGUUCCAGGGUCAAGUUAAUCUGCCCUGGGUUAGUCGGGGCCUAAGGCGAGGCCGACAGGCGUAGUCGAUGGAUAACGGGUUGAUAUUCCCGUACCGGUGAAGAACCGCCCAUACUGAUAUUGUGAUGCUAACCAUGCGAAGCAUGAUGUGCAGGCUUUUGUUUGUGUGUUGUGUGGGUUGUGGGACCCGAUCUUUGGAGGUAAACGUGUUAACAGGUGUGACGCAGGAAGGUAGCCAAGCCACGCGAUGGUUGUCGUGGUCUAAGCGUGUAGGGUUGUCGGUUGUUAAAUGCGCCGGCUGUGUGCCUGAGACGUGAUGGGACCCUGUUUUUGGGGGAUUUGGUGAUCCUAUGCUGCCGAGAAAAGCAUCGGCGUGAGGUUUUAGCCGCCCGUACCCUAAACCGACACAGGUGAUCAGGUAGAGAAUACUAAGGCGAUCGAGAGAAUCAUGGUUAAGGAACUCGGCAAAAUGCCCCCGUAACUUCGGGAGAAGGGGGACCUUGAGCGUGAUGGGCACUUGCUGCCUGGAGCGUGUAUGGGUCGCAGAGACCAGGGGGAAGCGACUGUUUAUCAAAAACACAGGUCCGUGCGAAGUCGUAAGACGAUGUAUACGGACUGACUCCUGCCCGGUGCUGGAAGGUUAAGAGGAUUGGUUAGCUCUUUUGAGCGAAGCUGAGAAUUUAAGCCCCAGUAAACGGCGGUGGUAACUAUAACCAUCCUAAGGUAGCGAAAUUCCUUGUCGGGUAAGUUCCGACCUGCACGAAUGGAGUAACGACUUCCCUACUGUCUCAACCAUGAACUCGGCGAAAUUGCAGUACGAGUAAAGAUGCUCGUUUCGCGCAGCAGGACGGAAAGACCCCGUGACCUUUACUAUAGUUUGGUAUUGGUGUUUGGUUUGGCUUGUGUAGGAUAGGUGGGAGACUGUGAAGCAUGGACGCUAGUUUGUGUGGAGUCGUUGUUGAAAUACCACUCUGGUCAAUCUGGAUGUCUAACUUCGGGCCAUGAUCUGGUUCAGGGACAGUGCCUGAUGGGUAGUUUAACUGGGGCGGUUGCCUCCUAAAGUGUAACGGAGGCGCCCAAAGGUUCCCUCAGCCUGGUUGGCAAUCAGGUGUUGAGUGUAAGUGCACAAGGGAGCUUGACUGUGAGACUGGCAGGUCGAGCAGGGACGAAAGUCGGGACUAGUGAUCCGGCGGUACGUUGUGGAACGGCCGUCGCUCAACGGAUAAAAGGUACCUCGGGGAUAACAGGCUGAUCUUGCCCAAGAGUCCAUAUCGACGGCAUGGUUUGGCACCUCGAUGUCGGCUCGUCGCAUCCUGGGGCUGGAGUCGGUCCCAAGGGUUGGGCUGUUCGCCCAUUAAAGCGGUACGCGAGCUGGGUUCAGAACGUCGUGAGACAGUUCGGUCCCUAUCCGCUGCGCGCGUUGGAAAUUUGAGAAAGGCUGUCCUUAGUACGAGAGGACCGGGACGGACGAACCUCUGGUAUGUCAGUUGUACCGCCAGGUGCAUGGCUGAUUGGCUACGUUCGGGAGGGAUAACCGCUGAAAGCAUCUAAGCGGGAAGCCUGUUUCGAGAUGAGAUUUCCUGGCACUUUUU
rnacentral:rRNA from 1 species